GUGCUGGCUUCAGAAGCACAUAUACUAAAAUUGGAACAAUACAGAGAAGAUCAACAUGACCCUUGCACAAGGAUAACAUGCAAAUCUGUGAAGUAUCCCUUUUUUUU